rnacentral:rRNA from 1 species
UACGAAGGGGGCUAGCGUUGUUCGGAAUUACUGGGCGUAAAGCGCACGCAGGCGGCUCGUUAAAUAAGGAGUGAAAGCCCUGGGCUCAACCCGGGAAUUGCUUUUUAGACUGGCGAGCUAGAAUUCGGAAGAGGGCAGUGGAAUUCCAAGUGUAGAGGUGAAAUUCGUAGAUAUUUGGAAGAACACCAGUGGCGAAGGCGACUGCCUGGUCCGAGAUUGACGCUCAUGUGCGAAAGCGUGGGGAGCAAACAGG